rnacentral:rRNA from 1 species
CGAUGCAACGCGAAGAACCUGACCUGGGCUUGACAUAUAUAUGGCGUAUGUAAGAAAUUAUGUAUUCUGUCUGUUUUUUCAGAUAGCAUAUAUACAGGUGAUGCAUGGCUGUCGUCAGCUCGUGUCGUGAGAUGUAGGGUUAAGUCCCUUAACGAGCGCAACCCUUGCUUUUAGUUGCCAUCAGGUAAUGCUGGGGACUCUAGAAGGACUGCCGAGGUUAACUCGGAGGAAGGUGGGGAUGACGUCAAGUCAGUAUGUCCCUUAUGUCCAGGGCUACACACGUGUUACAAUGGUCGGUACAGAGUGACGCUAAUCCACGAGGUGGCGCCAAUCACUUAAAGCCGAUCCCAGUUCGGAUUGGAGUCUGCAAUUCGACUCCAUGAAGUUGGAAUCGCUAGUAAUCGCAGAACAGCAUGCUGCGGUGAAUACGUUCCCGGGCAUUGUACACACCGCCCGUCACGCCAUGGAAGUUGGGAGUACCCGAAGUUGCUGUCCAUACGUU